rnacentral:rRNA from 1 species
UAUGUGAUCGUCUCUCGCAUAUCAAUAAGCGGAGGAAAAGAAACUAACAAGGAUUCCCCUAGUAACGGCGAGUGAAGCGGGAAGAGCUCAAAUUUGAAAUCUUAAAGGGUUUCCCUUUACGAAUUGUAGUUUAAAGAAGUGUUUUCUGUUGAGGUUUUGGUAAAAGUUCUUUGGAAUAGGACAUCAUAGAGGGUGAGAAUCCCGUAUUUGACCUUUACUUUCAACUUUGUGAUACACUUUCAAAGAGUCGGAUUGUUUGGGAAUGCAGUCCAAAAUGGGUGGUAAAUUUCAUCUAAAGCUAAAUAUUGGCGAGAGACCGAUAGCGAACAAGUACCGUGAGGGAAAGAUGAAAGGAACUUUGAAAAGAGAGUUAAACAGUACGUGAAAUUGUCAAAAGGGAAGCGUUUGACACCAGUGUUGUUUUUCUGAAAAUCAAUUAAAGAACUGUUUAUGCUAAGCUGUUUAGACUUUAUCAGCUAUACUGUUUAGUUUUGAGCUUUUCUUUAAUGCACUUUUCAGUUAACAAGUCAACAUCAAUUUCUUUUGCUGUAAAAAAGCUUGAGGAAGGUGGCUUGAGAUUCGUCUUAAGUGUUUAUAGCCUCUUGCCUAUGCAGUCGGAGAGAUUGAGGUCUGCAGCGUAGAUCCUUCGGGGCUAAAUGCAUUUGUGCUAAGUUAUAGCAUUUUAUAGACAACUUGUUGACUAUGAUUUGUCUUGUAGCUUACUCGCUUAUGUUAUUUUACCUACGCUUAGGAUGUUGACACACGCGCGUGCUCG